AGUGAACUGAGGGAGGAAGAUUAUACAAAAGAAUCAUAGUAAAAAGUUUCAGACUGGGCAAUUGCAGACUGUGAAAAUUUGCCAACUUAGUGUUUAUAGUAUCAGCAAUAUUUCACUACCUUGGAGUCUGAAAAGGUGAACGCAACUACAAGAUGUGCCACUAGGAAACAUUUGCACAGGACGUUAGCUGACAUAAUGAGGAAAAACUGUGGUUUUGAUAAUCAGUUUAAAGAAAGUUUUGGUUUGUGACAGACAACAUAAUAGUUGAAAUCAAGGUGAUCAAAGAAAGCAGCAGUACCUACAAAAGUCAUGUACAGAUACUUGCACAAUAAAAAAGCUGUUUGUGACACUUGAAGUUAAUGUAGGAUGUAUUCUGUAUGUAGACAAAAAGGAUAUCUUUUAUUUGUGAAGAAAAACAAACUGUGAUAAUUUUCAUAUCUUAACUUGGAUUAUUGAAAUACAAUUAGAUGUGAUUAUGUGAUUUUAAGAGAAUAAUCAUAUAAACAUACAUGUAUGUUUACUCAUAAGCUUAUAGAGAAGUUUACUUCAUGAAUAUUGAAUUAAUUAUUACAUAUAAACUAUAAUUUUAUGAUGCAUAUCUUUAAUUAAGAUAGUCUAAAUACAAUUGUUUAGCCAGUUAUUUAAUUAUCAAUGGUCCAAAGUACAUGACAAAAUGGUCAUCAUUAAUUAAAUUAAAUAUAAUAAAAAAACAACUGUUUAUUGAAUUUUGCUCUGAUUAUUCCAUGCCAAAAUUCUAUGCCAAAAUUCCGUGCUAAGAUUCCGUGCCCAGAUUCCGUGCCGGUUUUCCGCACGGACAUUUUUCCUGCUCAUUUACAUAUUUCGUGCCAAAUUCCGUGCCAUUUCCACCCAGAAUCCGUGCCAAGAGUUCCGUGCCUAAAAUUCCGUUCAAAAUUCCGCACGGAAUUUUUUCCUGCUCAUUUACAUAUUUCGUGCCAAAUUCCGUGCCAUUUCCGCCCAGAAUCCGCCCGUAAAAUGAACCCUUAUCAUAUACUAAAAAUUUUAAAGGAAUUUUAACUUUCUGGGCGUAAUCCGUGCUGAAAUUCCGCCCCAAUUCCGGGCGUAACAUUUCGUACAGGU